GCUACUGAGGCCAAGAAAGAAGAGAAAGUGGAGGAGAUGGAGAGAUGCUCCAUUGCUUUCAGAGUAAUGUAAGUUAUAGCAAUAAGAACCAUACAAACCCUCUAUUCUGAGGCCAAGAGUCUUCUAGCGGUGGUUCGCCCUCGAAUAAUUACAAAAGACGCACAAGAGAAGUUAUUGGUAUAGCUGUCGGAUGUGCAAGUGGACUACUGAUACUCGCAUCCAUUUUCUAUCUAUGUUGGAUGAAGGAUGCACCUAGCCAUAUGUGAGUGCACAUAGACUCACCAAGAUUUGUAUUUUCAGUAGUAUUGUAAUUGUAAUUGUAAUUGAUUGAAUGAAGGAUUGUAAUUGAUUCAUUAUUGAAUGAAUGAU